UUACGGGAGGCAGCAGUGGGGAAUUGUUCGCAAUGGGCGCAAGCCUGACGACGCAACGCCGCGUGGAGGAUGAAGGUCUUCGGAUUGUAAACUCCUGUCGACCGGGACGAAUGGCCCGCGACCUAAUACGUCGUGGGAGUGACGGUACCGGUGGAGGAAGCCCCGGCUAACUCUGUGCCAGCAGCCGCGGUAAUACAGAGGGGGCAAGCGUUGUUCGGAAUUACUGGGCGUAAAGGGCGCGUAGGCGGCCUGCUAAGUCGAACGUGAAAUCCCCGGGCUCAACCCGGGAACUGCGUCCGAUACUGGCAGGCUUGAAUCCGGGAGAGGGAUGUGGAAUUCCAGGUGUAGCGGUGAAAUGCGUAGAUAUCUGGAGGAACACCGGUGGCGAAGGCGGCAUCCUGGACCGGCAUUGACGCUGAGGCGCGAAAGCCAGGGGAGCAAACGGGAUUAGAUACCCCGGUAGG
rnacentral:rRNA from 1 species